rnacentral:rRNA from 1 species
AGUGAACGCUGGCGGCAGGCCUAACACAUGCAAGUCGAGCGGCAGCGCGUCCGACCACCCUCGGGUGGUCGGAUGGCGGCGAGCGGCGGACGGGUGAGGAAUGCAUCGGAAUCUGCCUCGUUGUGGGGGGAUAACGUAGGGAAACUUACGCUAAUACCGCAUACGACCUACGGGUGAAAGUGGGGGACCUUCGGGCCUCACGCGAUGAGAUGAGCCGAUGCCGGAUUAGCUAGUUGGCGGGGUAAAGGCCCACCAAGGCGACGAUCCGUAGUUGGUCUGAGAGGAUGAUCAGCCACACUGGGACUGAAACAAGGCCCAGACUUCCAUGGAGGGCAGCAGUGAGGAGUAUUGGACAAUGGGCGCAAGCUUGAUCCAGCAAUACCUAUUGGUGAUGACAGGAACACUAGUAAAACCUAUAGAGA